rnacentral:tRNA from 2 species
GGCCACCUGACUGGAAUUGGUAUACCUCGCCGGCUUAGAACCGGCGGCUUCCCGGUUCGAUUCCGGGGGUGGCUACCA